rnacentral:lncRNA from 1 species
GCUACAUCAAGCUAGUUGAAGACUGCAUAUAUGCUUCUUUUGCUCAGGUAAGGACUUGAUCUAUUUAAUAUUAUGUCAAAUAUAAAUCCGUCCAAAACUCUAUUGUGUUACCACUAAAUCUUGUAUUUUUUGUUGACCUUGUUGUUUGGUAUAUAUGAAAAAGCUUAUUAAAGCUCAAAUUAUUAUAGCAAUUGAAUCUCAUUAGGAGCUUUUAGUUAUAGCCACUUGAUCCAAAUCCAAUGGUAAAAAAAAUUAGAGUGUUGGGACAUUCCAAAAUACUCUAUCUACAACACAGAAAAAAUCGAGUGUUUUGGGGGACUCCGGCACUCGAGCGCCAGUUCCUCCCAAAACACUCGAGCGGGAGGUAGAGAGUCCCUUUGGUUUUUGUAGGUAUUAUCUAGACAUAAUAAUAUCUAUGAAUCUAGGAAACUCAAAACGACCUACAAUUUGGAACCGAGGGAACACAAAUUUCGAACGGGUUUACCUCUUUCUCUUGUGAAUUUAAUUUAUCAGCAUUUGAGAAACCUAUGGCAAUUCCCAUCUUAAGUAAACAAAAAUCAGAAAACUUCAAUAUAAUGAGAAUUUUCCAAUUAUUUUAUCAUAAAAAUUAUUUUGUUCAAAAGCUUGCAGGGCACUGCACUGCCAUUUAAGGAGAAUAGCAGGUGAGUUUUCUACAUUAGUCUAUUAUGUAAAAAGGCGCUUAUAGCUAGGUGUGUCAAAAAAGCUCAAAGCUUGUGAAUCGAUCGUGUUCGACUUGUUUUAGGCUUGGUUCGAGAUUGACUCGAUUUCUAAACGAGCCAAGCUCAAACCUAACUCAAAGCUCAUGAGCUUUUCGAGCUCUAGAUCGAAAAGCUCGAGUAAGCUCGUGCACUACAAUUGGCCAUGACCUAUGAGGUGUAUAUACACAUAUACUCUAAUUUUUUUGCCUAAUUAUACUGUGCAAAUCUCAAUGUCUAUAAGUAAUGUAAUGACUCUAGUCCAAUUUCUAUAUAGACUUUGUUGAACUUUGUUUAUGAAUGAUAUAAAUCUCAAGGCUUGUGAAUUGCUUGUGGUCAACUCGCUAUAAGCUCGACUCGAGAUCAGCUCGAAUCAUAAACGAGCCAAGCUUGAGCCUAGUUCUAAGCUCGGAUGGUUUUAAGGCUCGGCUCGGACUCGAUGCUCUAACAAGCUCAAUCUUGAGGUGAUGAGCUCACUCGAGCUCAACUCGUUUACAACCCUACUUAUAGCGCUCACAUACUCAACAAUAAAAUGUAGUUCUAACAUUAAAACUAAAAAAGCUCUAGGCUUCCACAAGCCAACCAUCAUAACAACAUCUCCGCCUUGAAUUCGUUUAGCACCUGCGCCGGUAGCAUACUCUUUUGCUAAAAAAUCCGUUGGUUUUGCUCUUUCCAUAUGUUCCAAGCAGUAUAGAUCAAGAUUGAAGCCUUCAGUUUUCUUUGAUUCUUUGGCAAGUUGAUAAGCGAGAUUUCCACCGGUGUUCAAUUUACAUAUCAUGAGCAGGCACCUCUACCAUUCCAUCAGACUAUGUACUAACCUUAUCCCAGACUUUAGAUGAGAAUGGGCAUGAAAGAACAAGGUGUGGAACCAAUUCUUCUUCUUGGUUGCAUACACUACAAGAAAUGUGCCGAUCUAUGAUGAAAAUUUUAUGACACAUUUAUUCUCGUCAUAGAUCUAUGAUGUUUCUAGCUAAAAAUAUCAUAAAGUUUCACAUCCGAGCAAAUUUAGUGACAAAGUUACGGAACAUCAUAAAAGUUGCCACUGUAGCUAAAAAGAAAUCGUCACUCGCUAUUACAUGGUGGUUUUGUGAUGAUAUAAGGUCCGCAAAAACAUCAUGAACCAACCAGGGUCCCACAUGUAAGUUUAAGCUGAUAUAUAGGGGGGGUAAAUUAAAAUGGAAAACGUGCUCCUCCCGUGGGUCGAACCCAUUACCGAUCAAAUGGGAAGUCUUUAUUGCAAUCGAGUCCCACAUGUAAGGUAAGUUUCAGGUGAGUGUGAUAGUUGGUGGCAGAAAAGCCCGCGCUGUAGCCAAAAAAUAGUUUACCCGCUGCCGCGCUCCCGUGAUAGGGGAAAAAGAAGAACAGAGAGAAGGUAGCCAGGACGGUGCACUCCGGUGGAGAUCUGUAGGUCCCCGCGGUGGCUGAAUCCUACGGCAAUACAAAUCUAGAGCUCCCUGCUACAACACGUCAAUCUAGUUAGUAAUUUUGAGUUGAAUUCGCCAAAAUUUCAUUUCGCAUUAAGCUCUUUUGAUGUAAGGCACUUCCAACCUGCUACUUGAUUCAAAAGCUAAACAAUGAGCAUUUGGCAGAUGGAUAGACAUUGGAUACACGGUUGCCAACUAUUUACUCCCGAGUAUGAGAAAGGGGGCAAUGUUUUCAUGGAAUUUGUUAAGAGUAGAUACUCUGACGAUGAACAAAUACUAUGCCCGUGUUGUGGAUGCCUGAAUCAGUCUAGAUGUAUUGUAGAAGUGGUGAACAUGCACUUACUUAGAACUGGGAUGGCAAGCACCUAAACUUGGUGGAUCCAUCAUGGAGAAACAUUCGAAGAUAGGGUUCAGGAAAAUAAAAAUAUGCAUGAUAAUGGGGUUCAGAAAAAUGCAAUUCUGUAGGAUGAUGGGGUUAAGGAAAUUGUAAUUCUACUGGAUGAGGUUGUUAAGGAUAAUGCAAUUCUGCAGGAAGAUGAUGAUCGGGAAAUGGUUUAGGAAAAUCGACACAUAUCAGGUAUGGAGAAGGAUGCAGGCACAGAAGAUGGAUUUCCUGAAAUGAUAGCUGACAUGUGCGAUGCUAAAGAGUUUGAAGGGAUAAUAUUAGAAUGUAUAAAUGAUCAUUUAAAACAUAAGGUGCCACCGGGAUCUACAUAUACACAAUUUACAUUUGUUGUGAAGUUACUUUAUAUCAAGUCUUUCUAUUGGAUCAGCAAUGUCGCAUUCAAUGUGAUUCUGAAGGUAUUAUUUAUUGCUUUCCCAAAAGCAUGUGUUCUGACAUCUUACGAUGAGGAAAUGAAGUACAUAUGUGCCAUGGGACUUGGCUAUAAAUCUAUUCGUGUUUUCAAGAAUAAUUGUGUAUUGUUUCGCAAGACGCUAGUGAAACAUGAUGUGUGCCCAGUGUGUUGUCAAGCGGAUUUAAGACAGAAAGAUGCAGACACCAAGAAGUGCAUUUCUCAGAAGGUAUGGAAGCAUUUUCCACUGGUUUCAAUGAUGAUGAGGAUGUUUAUUUCAUCAAAAACCGCAAAGGAUGCACAAUGGCACAAGUUGAAGCAAAAACCGGUGGACAAUGUGCUUAGCCAUCCAGCUGAUGGUGAGGCAUGGAAAGACUUUGAUAAAAAUUGGCCGGAAUUUGCAAAAGAUACUAGGAACAUUAGACUUGGCCUUGCAACCGAUGGUUUCAAUCCAUUUGGCAACAUGACAACCUCUAUAGUAUGUGGCUAGUAUAUGUUGUGCCAUAUAACAUGCCACCAUGGGUAUGCAUGGAAGAAUCAAACUUCAUGAUGUCAUUAUUGAUCCCUGGGCCGAGUUCUCCAUCAAAGGAUUUUGAUGUCUUCUUGCAACCUCUUGUAGAUGAGCUAUUGGACCUUUGGAAGGGUGUCGAUGCAUACGAUGCUUGUAGUCAUCAAUCCUUUAAACUGCAUGUUGCGGUUAUAUGGUGCAUAAAUGAUUAUCCAGCAUUGAGCACAUUGGCGGGAUGAGUCACGAAAGGUUAUUAUGUUUGUGUUCAUUGUGACAAGGAUCCUUGCUCAAGGAGAUUGAAGAACAAGAUAUGUUGUAUUGGCCAUCACCGUUUCCUUCCAAGUGGCUAUCCAUGGAGAAGAAAGAAAGUAGAGUUUGAUGGUAAUACUGAAAACCGAGAGAGGCUAGAGCAAUUUGCUAUUGAGGAGCUUCAGUAGAAACUGGAGAAGGUUAAAGAUGUUAAACCAGGAAAACCUCCUCAAGGUCAGAAAAGGAAGCGGGAACCCGGACAGUGUUGGAGCUGAAAGGUUUGUUUGUUUGACUGGCCGUAUUGGACAACUCUGAAGCUGCCACAUAAUCUUGAUGUCCUGUACAUUGAGAAAAACAUAUGCGAAAACCGUAUUGGAACAUUUCUUAAAAUUGCUUGGAAUACAAAGGACACGAUUAAUGCUAGGAUUGAUUUGAAAGAGAUGGGGAUUAGACCACAUCUACACAUGCUGAAUACUACGGAAGGAGGGUCAUGCAAAAUGCUAGAAGCUCCAUAUACAAUGGGUAAAAACAAACAGAAGGGGCGUUCUAUGAUUUUAUAAGCAGGUGAAGUUCCCAGAUGGAUUUGCUUCUAACUUAUCAAGAUGUAGUGCCACUGAUGGAUGCAAACUCCAAAGACUGAAAACUCAUGAUUGUCAUAUCCUAGUCCGAAGGAUUUUGCUUGCUUCACUUCAUGGUUUAAUGGAUAAAGAGACAUAUUAAGCUAUUUUGAAAUUAGGAAACUUCUUUUGGAAACUAUGUUGCAAAACUCUGAAGUUGGAUGUUUUGAAGAAAUUAAAAAUAAAUAUAUCCCAAUAAUUUUGUGCAAGCUUGAGAAAAUUUUUCCUCCUGCCUUCUUUGAUGUUAUGGUGCACUUGGCUGUCCAUUUGCCUGAGGAAGCAAUCCUAAGAGGCCCAGUACAAUAUGGAUGGAUGUAUUGCAUAUUGAAGCGUUUCGUGAGAAACAUGGCUAGACCUGAAGGAUCUAUUGUAGAAGCAUAUGUUGCUAAUGAGUGCUUGAAAUUUUGUGAAGACUUUGUUUUUUAAUGAGUGCCUGAAACGACUUAUCUUAUUUCCAGCACAAUGUUGAUGUACUUGGAGCAGCGAAGACUUCGUUCCUUGAUUUGGAUUACAACAAGCUGGUUUGGUAUGUCCUAAACAAUUGCAAAGAGGUUGAGCCAUAUAUAGGGUACAUAAUCCGUCAUGCAAUUAUUGUAUUGCAAUUAUUUCAGUCUAAUUUUCAGAUGGAUGCAUUUUUGUAGGAUAUACAAGGAUCAAUUAAAAGAGGAAGGUGUGUCGGACCAGGUUAUUGACUAUAGAAUUCAGAAAGAAUUUGCCUGAUGGUUUAAAUCUCAUGUAAGUUUUCUAAUUUUUGAGAACAAACUUAUAUUAGCUGGCGAGAAGCUAUAUAUAAAACUAUAGUUUUGUUGUAUAGAUUGAAAAGAUGCCUAAAGAAGAGGUCUCCGAGGAUCUAUAUGCAUUAUCAGCUUUAUCAGACAAGCGAGAAAGAAAAUAUUCAGCAUGUCUUGUUGGCCAUGUUCGGUACCACACACAUGGCCGAGAGGAAAAUAUGAAGACACAGAACAGUGGGAUUGUGGCUGCAGGCUUUCCUAACAGUGAGCCAUUUGGUUUUUUUAUGGUUGUCUAAAAGAAAUUAUUAAGCUGCGGUAUAACUCAUCAGGGCGUGGUAUAAAUCGAACUGUUGUAUUAUUCCACUGUGAUUGGUAUGAUCUGGGAGGGACCAAGAGGGAACCGAGCAUCAAUACUGGAAGGUAAUGGUACAAAAGUGAUCCCUACAUUUUUGUUGAACAAGAAAUGAAUGUGUUCUACUUGCUAGACACCCUACAAGACCCAUGGAGAGUGGUGCAAAGAUUUGAGCAUAGGUAUUUGUGGAGCUUUAAUGAAAAUGAGCAGGACAUAGCUCCCAGUGCAUGGUACUUGCAUAUCAAGAUGAUGAAAUUGAAGAAUGUGUUGAUGACGAUAUUGGUGGUGAUGGUAUUGGUGAUGGUUCGAAGGCUCCGAUGCCUAUUACUGACGAGGAGGAGUGGAUUGUCAUUUGAGCGGAUCAAGUUUCUUCCAUUCGCUAGCAAAGCUUGGAUGAUUUGGACGUAUUCAAUUCUGACGAUGAGGAGGAGGAUGAAACUAUCUAGCAAUACCAUGAUGAAGAUAAAAAUCCUAUACCUGACAAUGAUGAGGACUGGGAAGUGAAAUCAGUUAAUGUUUUAGUCGAUCAGAUCUGAACUCAUUUGUUAUAUAGGAUAUGAACCGAUAUGUGCAUGUAGAUCCAGUUCAAUGUAUUGUAAAACUCCGGAACAUCCUGUGACGUUUUUCAAAAUCUUCGAACACCCAUUUGGCUGGCUAUUUAUCUGGUUUGGUGUAUUGUCAAACAUUGAAAUAUCCUGUGAUGUCUUCAAAAUCUUUGAACGCCCAUUUGGCUAACUGUUUAUCUGGUUAUGUGUAUUGUCAAACACUGGAACAUCCUAUGAUAUCUUUCAAAAUCUUCGAAUGCCCAUUUGGCUGGCUGUUUAUCUGGUUUGGUGUAUUGUCAAACACCAAAACAUCCUUAUGCAAGAACAAGGUUGGGUAGGAAACUUCUACCCAUCUUCUUGUCUGGGUGCGCACUAUACCUUUAUGACUUUAUCCAAUGCCGUGUCACUAAUGCUGACCCGCCGUUCCCCAUUUACUGCAAGGUCGCUUGUGGCGCCCACCCUUGAUAGAGUUUAGCCGCUGCCUCCCGCUGCAGCUGCCCGCCACUAUGGCCGUGCUCUGCCACUACCGCAAUCUGCCGCCGCUUGCCUCGAUUUCAUAGGUAUUCGUCGUUGAAAGGGGGAUUCAUUGAUUUUUUUGAGAUCAUUGCGGUAGCUGAUUCAGGAAAGAUCUUGCAAAUGGGCUGAGAUGGGGUCAAGAGAAAUGGAGAAUAAUGUAGUUUCACUUGUCCUUGAGAAUAUUUGGUUGCAAGUGAAAUAACACAAAAGGAUGAAGAAAGCACCCUCUAGGGAUCCAGAAAACAUGCUUUUGAGUAAUGGGAGGUUGCCAGGUGGACAUCCCAUUGAUUGAAGGGCACACAAACUAUCACAACCACCUCAAUCCACCAAAUAUGGUACAAAACUGCCAUUGGGACCCACCAGGCAGUCACCCGGAGAAAGGCGGUUGCGAGGAGGGCCCACAGGGGGUCGGCUGAACCAUGCUGGAAUUCUUCUGGCCAUUUCUCCUUUUCACAAAAAGUUCUGAAAAUGAAACUAUUUUGAUUUCAUUUGAAAAUUCUUUUGAGUCCUUUUCUAGAACAAAUUUUGCCAUACUUCCCUUGCAUGAUUUCACAUGAUUACAAGGAAGUUUGUACAAAAGGGGGCAGCAAUGAAGACCUACUACGUGCCGGUCGAAUCUCUAAUUCGAUCGUGUUCAUCACGUUUAUGUCUAACUUGCCUCAACAACUUCUAGUUGUUACCCCCGGUCAUCAUCUGAUCAUUUGUUCUCCUAAGCUCUUUAGGGAGUAAAGGGGGAGAAGAGUCUUGCUCAACCAUGGCAUUCGCUCCUCCCCUGAAUUGGCUCUUAGGAUCUUUCAACCAAUUUCACAUAGGAGAAAGGAGUAAGGAAACUCUCUUCCUCCAUUUGUUUUUUUGUUGUGGGUUUGAACUCAGGGGAAGCAACGACUUGGAGAAAAUUCAUUUUCCCUCUUGGAUGCUGCCCUGUGCUUCCGUGCUCUUGCGUUGCAAGUAUGGGCAUCCAGCUUGUCAAGUCCACUGCAACAACAGCGGCUGGAGGAGCAAAAAGCUUACUUUCGUUGGAUGAGGUACAACCCCAACCAGCAGCAGUGAGCCUGAAGCUAGUUUGGGGGAGGACCCCCACAGGAGAGGUAACUUGUAUCUUUAUCGCUUUCAAAAAAUGCAUGAUAAAAAUAAAUAAAAAUCUGAAAAAUUAAAAAAAGACCAAAAAUAUUUACCGCUUUUCCUAUGCAUGGUAAGAAUGUUCUAUUCUCUAUGGUUGAAAUGAUGAAUAGUUGCUCUGUUUAUUUCAUCUCAUGUGUCUCGUUACAACUUAGUAUCCUACCCAUGUUUUUGAGUUUGUUGGCUUGCAUGAUCAAACCUUAGCUUGAAACUUGUGAGUAGUAAAAAGCAUGAUCUAUGUCUAGGUUGUUGUGAGAUAUGAUAUGGUAGAAUAGAGCUGCUAUGAUCUUGUUCUAUGUGACGCUUGAAAUCCAUAGUUUUAUUUUUGAAAAUGCUAAAAUGAUAAGUUCCUCAAUGAUGAGAAAUUCCUAUCCAAGGCCAUAUGCUGAUCCUAUUACAUAACUUCCCCAUAUGCAGCUUGUUCUCUCAUUGAGCUUUGUCAAAUUGUUGUGAUGCUUAGUGAGAAACUUGUCAUACUUCCAUGAUCAAGAUCACGUACACGCCACCACCAUAUGCUAAGCUUCUACACUGGAAGAUAGCAAUCAUCAUUUCAUCCAUCCACAAAAUAAAGCUCCAUGUUGUUUUAUGACCUCUCUCCCCAAAGUUAUCCUUGCAAAAGAGGCUUGGGCUAUGCAAAAAGAAAUAAAGUACAUACUCAUGAAAGCAUGAUGAAAAAAAGAGAGAAAAAGAAAAGAUAGCCCAUGUCUCCAAAAAGACAAAAAAAAGUAAAGGAGAGAGAAGGAUCAUUCAAAAAAGAGUCCAUAUACCAUCCACUACAUACACCAUCCACACACAUGCACAUCUUGAUCAGGUUGUAUGACUUGCUUCUCCAAAGAAUCCAAUCUUUGACUUAGCAAUAAAUGAGAGACAGGUAUGGCUUCAUUCUUCCCUACCUACAGCUCCACAAAUAAGCCUAUUAGGAGUAGGUUGUGAAAGAAAGGUAAUCCCAUGCCUUGAUGAGGAAUCAUACACAUUGAGCGAUCCGAGUUUAUCAUUUGAGGAACUUUGAUUUCUUUUAAAAAACUUUGCAAAACCUCCGGAUUGGCAGCUAAUCAAGGGAUGAGUGAAUAGUGCUCUAUGAAACCAUUCUAUCUCUUAACCACCCAAGACAAGGUGAAGCGGGUUUAAUCCCUUUUCGCACCAGCAGCAGCCACGCCUCCCACGCCCUCGCCUUGUUGCAACUCCUAGACCGAGCAGUCUGGCUUGCGAUGCUUACUCCCCGUAGGUGUGGAUAUCUUGGAGGUAUUGCAUCUGCAGCACUUGGACAAGCCGCCACACGAGAGCUCCGAUGAGGAACUUGAUGAGCCAACGAUGAGUCGACGAUGAGCCUGACGAGCCGCGGCACGAGGAGGGAGUCGCUGAACGUGGAUGAGCUGCUGAGGAGUUGCUCGACGUUGACGUGUUCGACUACACUGCGUCGACGUAUGAUCGACUUCGCUACCCCGACAAGUAUCUACAACUUCCACAUUUGUGCGUCGAGUGGUAAUCCCGUCAUCUAUAACGACAGUUUUUCUCUUGGUUUACGCGGUAGAAAUUUUUAUUUUGCGCUAGCAUAGCCUACCUCGUAUCCCAAAAGUAGUUACCACUUGACGGGUAAGUCUUGUUGAGUAUUACUAUAAUCAGCCUUGCUUGUGGCUUUACUUUCAGGUAACUUAGUUGUUGAGGAGUUUGCUGCUUGUGUAACUUGGCCGACCCAGCUACCUUCAGGUUGGACGAACGAGUGGGACCCAUCCUCGAUCAGCGAGGAUCACAGUAACUAAU